rfam:Asian citrus Psyllid, Diaphorina citri - Florida Strain, whole genome shotgun sequence.
GCCUAGUUAGCUUAGUUGGUAGUGCGGCUGCCUUGUAAGCGCUAGGCCGCGGGUUCGAUUCCCGCCCGGGGCG